AACGUAGGACACGAGCGUUAUCCGGAGUUACUGGGCGUAAAGGGCGUUCAGGCGGGUGAUUAAGUUCGCUAUGAAAGCGCCGGGCUAAACCCGGCGAGGCUGGCGGAUACUGGUCAUCUGGAGUGAGGCAGAGGAAGGUAGAAUUCCGCGUGUAGUGGUGAAAUGCGUAGAGAUGCGGAGGAAUACCAGUGGCGAAGGCGGCCUUCUGGGCCUCAACUGACGCUGAAGCGCGAAAGCAUGGGGAGCGAACGGG
rnacentral:rRNA from 1 species